rnacentral:rRNA from 1 species
UAGGGAAUCUUCCACAAUGGACGCAAGUCUGAUGGAGCAACGCCGCGUGAGUGAAGAAGGUGUUCGGAUCGUAAAGCUCUGUGGGUGGUGAAGAAGGAGAGAGGUAGUAACUGGCCUUUAUUUGACGGUAAUCAACCAGAAAGUCACGGCUAACUACGUGCCAGCAGCCGCGGUAAUACGGAGGUGGCAAGCGUUGUCCGGAUUUAUUGGGCGUAAAGCGAGCGCAGGCGGAAGAAUAAGUCUGAUGUGAAAGCCCUCGGCUUAACCGAGGAACUGCAUCGGAAACUGUUUUUCUUGAGUGCAGAAGAGGAGAGUGGAAUUCCAUGUGUAGCGGUGGAAUGCGUAGAUAUCUGGUAGAACACCAGUGGCGAAGGCGACUCUCUGGUCUGCACCUGACGCUGAGGCUCGCAAGCAUGGGUAGCGAACAGG